UACGUAGGGCGCAAGCGUUAUCCGGAAUUAUUGGGCGUAAAGAGCUCGUAGGCGGUUUGUCGCGUCUGCCGUGAAAGUCCGGGGCUCAACUCCGGAUCUGCGGUGGGUACGGACAGACUAGAGUGAUGUAGGGGGAGACUGGAAUUCCUGGUGUAGCGGUGAAAUGCGCAGAUAUCAGGAGGAACACCGAUGGCGAAGGCAGGUCUCUGGGCAUUAACUGACGCUGAGGAGCGAAAAGCAUGGGGGAGCGAACAGG
rnacentral:rRNA from 1 species